GGUUCAGUAGCAUAUGGUAUGCAUCUGCCUGCAAUUAACAUGUGGCCUUCACGCUAGCGGAAGAUGUGGGUUCGACUCCCACCUGAGCCC